AUUGAACGCUGGCGGCAGGCCUAACACAUGCCAGUCGAACGGUAACAGGAAGCAGCUUGCUGCUUUGCUGACGAGUGGCGGACGGGUGAGUAAUGUCUGGGAAACUGCCCGAUGGAGGGGGAUAACUACUGGAAACGGUAGCUAAUACCGCAUAACGUCGCAAGACCAAAGAGGGGGACCUUAGGGCCUCUUGCCAUCGGAUGUGCCCAGAUGGGAUUAGCUAGUAGGUGGGGUAACGGCUCACCUAGGCGACGAUCCCUAGCUGGUCUGAGGGGAUGACCGGCCACACUGGAACUGAGACACGGUACAGACUCCUACGGGAGGCAGCAGUGGGGAAUAUUGCACAAUGGGCGCAAGCCUGAUGCAGCCAUGCCGAGUGUAUGAAGAAGGCCUUCGGGUUGUAAAGUACUUUCAGCGGGGAGGAAGGGAGUAAAGUUCAUACCUUUGCUCAUUGACGUUACCCGCAGAAGAAGCACCGGCUAACUCCGUG
rnacentral:rRNA from 1 species